UACGUAGGGGGCGAGCGUUGUCCGGAUUUAUUGGGCGUAAAGAGCGUGUAGGCGGCCAGGUAGGUCUGCUGUGAAAACUCGAGGCUCAACCUCGAGACGUCGGCGGAAACCAUCUGGCUAGAGUCCGGAAGAGGAGAGUGGAAUUCCCGGUGUAGCGGUGAAAUGCGCAGAUAUCAGGAAGAACACCCGUGGCGAAGGCGGCUCUCUGGGACGGUACUGACGCUGAGACGCGAAAGCGUGGGGAGCAAACAGG
rnacentral:rRNA from 1 species